rnacentral:lncRNA from 12 species
AAGGAAUUUGGCAAGUGACUAAUCCACAAUAUUGUCUUAUUUGGCAUAUGGAGAAACACCCCCUGAGGGACACCUUGGCCUACAGCAAACCCAGAAACAUGUGGCUCUGGAAGGAAAUGGAUGAGGCAGCUUUU